rnacentral:rRNA from 1 species
AGUCAAUAGAUACCCGGUAGUCCAUGCCGUAAACGAUGAUUGCUAGGUGUGGGGGGUCUGACCCCUUCCGUGCCGGAGUUAAACACAAAUAAGCAAUCCACCUGGGGAGUACGGCCGCAAGGUUGAAACUCAAAGGAAUUGACGGGGGCCCGCACAAGCAGUGGAGUAUNGUGGUUUAAUUCGAAGCAACGCGAAGAACCUUACCAGGUCUUGACAUCCACCGAAUCCUGUAGAGAUACGGGAGUGCCCGUUCGGGGAACGGUGAGACAGGUGGUGCAUGGUUGUCGUCAGCUCGUGUCGUGAGAUGUUGGGUUAAGUCCCGCAACGAGCGCAACCCUUGUGAAUAGUUGCUACGAAAGAGCACUCUAUUCAGACCGCCGUUGACAAAACGGAGGAAGGUGGGGAUGACGUCAAAUCAUCAUGCCCCUUAUGACCUGGGCUACAUACGUACUACAAUGGCCGUUAACAGAGGGAUGCAAUGCCGCGA